rnacentral:rRNA from 1 species
AUUGGAGAGUUUGAUCCUGGCUCAGGAUGAACGGCUGACGGCGUCCCUAAUACAUGCAAGUCGAGCGAAUGGAUUAAGAGCUUGCUCUUAUGAAGUUAGCGGCGGACGGGUGAGUAACACGUGGGUAACCUGCCCAUAAGACUGGGAUAACUCCGGGAAACCGGGGCUAAUACCGGAUAACAUUUUGAACCGCAUGGUUCGAAAUUGAAAGGCGGCUUCGGCUGUCACUUAUGGAUGGACCCGCGUCGCAUUAGCUAGUUGGUGAGGUAACGGCUCACCAAGGCAACGAUGCGUAGCCGACCUGAGAGGGUGAUCGGCCACACUGGGACUGAGACAGGCGGCCCAGACUCCUACGGGAGGCAGCAGUAGGGAAUCUUCCGCAAUGGACGAAAGUCUGACGGAGCAACGCCGCGUGGAGAGUGAUGAAGGCUUUCGGGUGCGAGUGAAACUCUGUUGUUAGGGAAGAACAAGUGCUAGUUGAAUAAGCUGGCACCUUGACGGUACCUAACCAGUAAGCAACGGCUAACUACGUGCCAGCAGCCGCGGUAAUACGUAGGUGGCAAGCGUUAUCCGGAAUUAUUGCGCGUAAAGCGCGCGCAGGUGGUUUCUUAAGUCUGAUGUGAAAGCCCACGGCUCAACCGUGGAGGGUCAUUGGAAACUGGGAGACUUGAGUGCAGAAGAGGAAAGUGGAAUUCCAUGUGUAGCGGUGAAAUGCGUAGAGAUAUGGAGGAACACCAGUGGCGAAGGCGACUUUCUGGUCUGUAACUGACACUGAGGCGCGAAAGCGUGGGGGAGCAAACAGGAUUAGAUACCCUGGUAGUCCACGCCGUAAACGAUGAGUGCUAAGUGUUAGAGGGUUUCCGCCCUUUAGUGCUGAAGUUAACGCAUUAAGCACUCCGCCUGGGGAGUACGGCCGCAAGGCUGAAACUCACAGGAAUUGACGGGGGCCCGCACAAGCGGUGGAGCAUGUGGUUUAAUUCGAAGCAACGCGAAGAACCUUACCAGGUCUUGACAUGCUCGGAAAACCCUAGAGAUAGGGCUUCUCCUUCGGGAGCAGAGUGACAGGUGGUGCAUGGUUGUCGUCAGCUCGUGUCGUGAGAUGUUGGGUUAAGUCCCGCAACGAGCGCAACCCUUGAUCUUAGUUGCCAUCAUUAAGUUGGGCACUCUAAGGUGACUGCCGGUGACAAACCGGAGGAAGGUGGGGAUGACGUCAAAUCAUCAUGCCCCUUAUGACCUGGGCUACACACGUGCUACAAUGGACGGUACAAAGAGCUGCAAGACCGCGAGGUGGAGCUAAAUCUCAUAAAACCGUUCUCAGUUCGGAUUGUAGGCUGCAACUCGCCUACAUGAAGCUGGAAUCGCUAGUUAAAUCGCGGAUCAGCAUGCCGCGGUGAAUACGUUCCCGGGCCUUGUACACACCGCCCGUCACACCACGAGAGUUUGUAACACCCGAAGUCGGUGGGGUAACCUUUUUGGAGCCAGCCGCCUAAGGUGGGACAGAUGAUUGGGGUGAAGUCGUAACAAGGUAGCCGUAUCGGAAGGUGCGGCUGGAUCACCUCCUUU